UACGUAGGGUGCAAGCGUUGUCCGGAAUUAUUGGGCGUAAAGAGCUCGUAGGCGGUCUGUCGCGUCUGCUGUGAAAUCCCGGGGCUCAACCCCGGGCUUGCAGUGGAUACGGGCAGACUAGAGUUCGGUAGGGGAGACUGGAAUUCCUGGUGUAGCGGUGAAAUGCGCAGAUAUCAGGAAGAACACCGAUGGCGAAGGCAGAUCUCUGGGCCGUAACUGACGCUGAGGAGCGAAAGCAUGGGGGAGCGAAACAGG
rnacentral:rRNA from 1 species